rnacentral:other from 1 species
AAAGCCCUGCCGUGUUCGUGAUUUAGCCGAGGAAGUUUUGAGCCGACACUCAAAGUAAUUAGGGGCUCUUGUUCGAAUGUGGCGUGGCAGCCCCGCCCUGAGUUUUCCUUUGGGGAAUCGCAAAGCAUUCGACGGAGCACCCGCCCGUGCUUCACGGGUUCAAAAACUUGUUAGGCACACGGCAUGGUGGGGUUUUU